rnacentral:lncRNA from 1 species
GUUUUCUUUUUCUCCUCCCCUUUCCCAGCUCUGCCGCUUGGGCCCAGGGACAGGCCCUGCUCCAGCUUUCCCAGGCCAGAAGGUCCCUCCCAUCCUCCUCGCCGUCUCUUCUGUUGUUAUUUUUUGAGACAGGGUCUCGCUGUGUAGUCCGGGCUGGCCUUGAGCUCACUAUGUAGCCCAGGCUGGCCUCCAACUGGGGCGAUCCUGCUGCCUCGGCCUCCGGGUGCUGGAUGACAGGCGUGGGCUAACGAGCCUCCCCACGAUUCUCCAAGGCCACAGCCCGAGAGGCCGCCGCCCAUUGACGGAACCCCAGUGAACCGGGCGGGUCCCCUCCUCGCAGCAGGGCAGGGUGGGAGGCGCGGCGUUUCCUUGCAUCCCCGGGGCAGGGCUCAGCCUCCGCAGGCGCCAGGUCCCCAGCCCAGCCUCGUCCUCCCGACCUUGGGAGGCUCGUGGGUGCGGUUUCCAGAGCCCAGUGACUUCGGGGUAGGCCCUGCCUCCACCCUACCGCGACACGAACACCGGCCCCCAGGGGCAGAAAAGGAGGUGCCACCUGACCCAGCUUCCCACAGCGGGACCAGACGGCUGGGUGUACAAGGCCCCGGGGCCGCCCUCUGCUCCCCAGGAACAGAAACACUGACAAAAGCCCACCUGGAGUUCCAACAACCUGGGAGGAUGAAACAGGAGAAUCUGUGAACCCAGGAGUUGCAGACCAGCCUGGGCCAGAGAGAGACCUGGUCUCAAAAUCAGAAACCAGCCACCACCAAAAGAAGCCGCCCCUAGGCUGAGCAGACACCUGUCUCCCCUCCGAAUGCACGACACCCCAAGGUAGGCCGGACUGGAGGGAGAGACAGUCACCGAGGCGGAGAAAACCUCCCAGAAACCCAACUUGAAAAGGAGAGAAUAGAAAACAGAUGAAAGAAAAAUCUAUGAAAUCCAGGCUUCUACUGCUUGCCAUCUAAAGCAAAUGAAAACUUAGGUCAAGCCAGGAGCGAUCAUGCACACCUGUACUCACUGCCACUUGGGAGGCUGAGGCAGGAGCAUGACACCUUUGAGCCCAGCCUGGGCAACUCAGCAAGGCCCCACCCCCAGGGCUGGCUCAGCCCGCAAGCACAGGCUUCUGCAUCCUGAGCGGGCUCUCCCUGGACAGAGCAGAAUCAGGAGUCAACCCUGCCUGGGUGAACCUGACUCAAAGGGGUGCCGUCUUGGACAGGGUUUGGCAUUUCUGGACCACAACAUGUGAAGUAGGAAGAGCGACUCCUCGUUACCGUUUUUAAAAAAGUUGCAUGGUUGGUUAGAAUUCUGCAUAAAACUCUAUAGUACACUCAGAGUCCCAAGGGCAACGAGAUGACAAUGGAUCGGGCCCUAAACACCCUUAAUAGAACCCAUGCAAUUCAAAUGGCCAUUCAUCAAAUAAAAUAUUAAGCACCUACUGGUUUGAGAUUGAAAUCAGAUUCAUGAUCAGUUUCCUUCCACGUUGAAGUCAAGGUAUAAAACCAGCUGUGUAAGUGCAUUCCAAACUUCCCCUAUGUAACG